rnacentral:tRNA from 1 species
GCGCCUGUAGCUCAGGGGGAGAGUGCCUGCUUGACACGCAGGAGGUCGGAGGUUCAAAACCUCCCGGGCGCACCA